rnacentral:rRNA from 1 species
AUUGAACGCUGGCGGCAUGCUUUACACAUGCAAGUCGAACGGUAACAGGCCUUCGGGUGCUGACGAGUGGCGAACGGGUGAGUAAUGCAUCGGAACGUACCCAGAGGUGGGGGAUAACGCAGCGAAAGCUGUGCUAAUACCGCAUGUGAUCUGAGGAUGAAAGCGGGGGACCGAGCAGCAAUGUUUGGCCUCGCGCCUUUGGAGCGGCCGAUGUCGGAUUAGCUAGUUGGUGGGGUAAAGGCCUACCAAGGCGACGAUCCGUAGCUGGUCUGAGAGGACGACCAGCCACACUGGGACUGAGACACGGCCGCGACUCCUACGGGAGGCAGCGGUGGGGAAUUUUGGACGAUGGGCGCAAGCCUGAUCCAGCAAUGCCGCGUGCGGGAAGAAGGCCUUCGGGUUGUAAACCGCUUUUGGCAGGAACGAAACGGUGUCCGCUAAUACCGGGCGCUAAUGACGGUACCUGCAGAAUAAGCACCGGCUAACUACGUG